rnacentral:rRNA from 1 species
AAUCAACGCUGGCGGCGUGCCUCAGACAUGCAAGUCGAACGAUUAAGACUCCCUUCGGGGAGUGUAUAAAGUGGCGCACGGGUGAGUAACACGUAAGUAAUCUACCUUUGAGUGGGGAAUAACGUCCGGAAACGGACGCUAAUACCGCAUAACGCAGCGGCACCGCAAGGUGACAGUUGUUAAAGGAGCAAUCCGCUUGAAGAGGAGCUUGCGGCAGAUUAGCUAGUUGGUAAGGUAAUGGCUUACCAAGGCUACGAUCUGUAUCCGGCCUGAGAGGGCGGUCGGACACACUGACACUGAAUAACGGGUCAGACUCCUACGGGAGGCAGCAGUCGGGAAUUUUGGGCAAUGGGCGAAAGCCUGACCCAGCAACGCCGCGUGAAGGAUGAAGUAUUUCGGUAUGUAAACUUCGAAAGGAUGGGAAGAAUAAAUGACGGUACCAUUUAUAAGCUCCGGCUAACUACGUGCCAGCCGCCGCUGUAACAC